rnacentral:lncRNA from 1 species
CACAAAUUGAUGCUCUCCACAUUAACUUUAAAAUACUGGAAGCACUAUGCUCUUUUUUUUUUUUUUUUAACUCAAAGUAUCCAGAUACAAAUAUUAACUUAUCAAUUUUAUUUUCAGAUAUACCGAGACUUACAUAAAUAUCCCGACUUAUUUUUAUUCCUUUGUGUCCUUGAAAUUGAGUUUAAUAAGUUUAGACUCAUUUUGUAAACCCAUGUAGAAUAAUUCUCUCAAUUUUUAAUGCCACUGAUCAGAAUAUAAUUUCCAUAGAAAACCGUUGGAAUUAUUUAACUAAAUCAAACAUUGAAUAAUACAAUCUCUUAAUGAUAGCUGGAAUUGUUUGGCAUUAUCAAUGGCUCCUCUAGUUAAUCACAGAAAAAGCAGAAUAAAUAAUUACACUAUUUUAUCAUCUCAAUACAGAUAAAUGUGUAUUUGCCACAUAUACCUGACCCGAGAAAAGAUGAAAACAGAAGGUAGAAAUUUUCUUCUUCACAUGAAGGAUAAAAUUUGUUCUUGCCAUGUGCUAGUUCUGAAAAGGUAUUUGGUCAAUCAAAGUGAUUAUUAUACUGCUAUUGAUUUCAAAUUAGUUUUUAUUUUGUGCUUCAAAGCAUGUGAUUUUUAUUUUAGAGAAAACAAUUGCAAUAGAAAAAAUGUGAUGUUUGGAAAGAAAUGAAAUAUUAAUUCUCUGAAGAAAAAAUAUUGUGCCCUCAAUUAUUCAAAAUGAUUUUCUCUUUUUUUGUUCAAACACACCCACACACAUCUUAUGUCAUAAUCAAAAAGAGACUAUAAAGUAGCUCACAUUUAAAAUCAAUAUCAUGCCUUGAUAUUUAUUCAUUUUGCAAAGUGCAAUCACUAUUUGCUUCAUUAAUCAUGGAGGUUGAAUACUUUUACGCUCCCAGUUUUUCUAAAGUAAAAUACUUAACUGUUCCAAAAAUUCUGUGAGAGACCUAUCUGGCAAUUGACUUAAUGACAGUAGGAACACAGGAAUCCCUUUCUAAAUUAUUCCCUUUUAAGAAUCUAAUAGAAAGUGUCACUGAACAUAACAUUCUUUGCCAUUUUUAAGCAAUAAAACAAUGGAAAGAGUUAAUUAAGUAUUGAUAGUGGAAUUGCUAGAUAUUAAGGUAUAUAUGUAAAUGGAACUAUUUGUAUAAAUCUACACAAGCAUUUUCAUAGCUGAUGCAUAGGAACGAAAUGAGAAUAUUGCACAACAACCUGAAUAUCACGAUGAUUUCAUUCUGUUGAUGUUUUGGGAUUGUAAAACAUAAGAAGUGGUAUUUUUCUCUUAGUUUCACUCCAUUUACUUUAAUUUUUCUUUUUUAAUGAUCUUCCAUUGAUUUACCCCCUCUUUCAAUCUUAGAAUUUCAGAAGAAUUUUUGUGGGUUUUGCCCUAGUGGGUAUUUGCUCAGACAUCAACUACAGAGAGGCCCUUUUUCCUCACUUAUUUUGUGGUCUUUGUAUCUGCUUUGAGAUGCGUGGGAAUCUCAAUGGUAAUUCCCAGAGUGUUGGAUGACACCCUCUGGCAUUAAGUUUAUCCUGAAGCUUAGAGUCACUAGAAUCAUGAUCAUCACAGAGAGACUGUGCUUCAGUAACAUUGGUGCCUGUGAUUAGAGAUUGUGUGUGAUUAGAGAUUGGAAAAUAACACAAAAUCUUUUAAAAUGUUUGCUACAUGGCAUGCAAGAUAAAUUAGCUCUCUCUGGAUAAAGUUAUAAUUUAAAAUUUUUAACUAUAACCUUCUGAUGCAGCAAUUGAAAAUUUAGAAUCUGACAGCCUCAGCUCACAAUUAUAUUUCCCCCUUUUUAAAAAUUAUUUUUUAUUGAAGUAUAGUUAAUGUACAGUUUUAUACAAGUUACAGGUGUUCUAUAUGGUGAUUCACAUUUUUUUUUUUUUUUGUCUUUUUUUUGCUAUUUCUUGGGCCACUCUCAUGGCAUAUGGAGGUUCCCAGGCUAGUGGUUGAAUUGGAGCUGUAGCCACCGGCCUACGCCAGAGCCACAGCAACGCUGGAUCCGAGCCGCGUCUGCAGCCUACACCACAGCUCACGGCAACGCUGGAUCGUUAACCCACUGAGCAAGGGCAGGGACCGAACCCUCAACCUCAUGGUUCCUAGUCGGAUUCGUUAACCACUGCGCCAUGACGGGAACUCCGGUGAUUCACAUUUUGAAAGGUUUACUCCAUUUAAAGUUAUUAUGAAAUAUUGGUUCUAUUCCCUGCUGUACAAUAUAUCCAUGUUACUUAUUCUAUUCAAAAUUGUACGUCUUAAUCCCCUACCCUUCCAUGGUCUCUCCCCCUUUCCUCUCCCAUCUGGUAACCACUAGUUUAUUCUGUACGGCUAUGAUUCAGAUUUCCCUCUUCUUAUCUGCAACCUUGGACAUAUUACAUAUUUUGCACAUUAUAAUUAGUAUAUUAAUUCACUAGGUUAUUUUGAAAAUUGUCAUGUUUAUUUAACCCUUGUCAUGAUACACAAAAUAGAAUCACUAAAUUGAAUUAUUUUACGACAAUAUGAGUGACUUUUCCGUACAAGAGAAAUUAUACCAAACUAACAUUUAUAUUGAGUGAACUCUUUCAAAUGUUUUCUUUCAAAAAGCAAUAAUUUCACACAGUGGGGUUUCAACAAUCCUUUUAUAAAUUCUUAAUUAACUAUGUAAGCCCCUGGCAUGUGGAGAAAAUAAUACAAGACAUGGUAUUAAACAGAAAAUAAAAGCUCUUAAAUUUCUUUAUAUAAACUGUUAUUCAAACCAUUAAGCUUGGUGCUGUGAUGUGGUUGUAUUUAAUAAUAAACUCAGAUUAUCAAGUCAGUCUAGGAAAAGCUAAUUUAUAGGUUUGUAUAGAAUAUAAGGUCACUAAUGACCACAAGCAGUAACAAGAUACUUCAAAUAGCAAAAGUGAUCAACAGUAGAAAUAUAUCAAAUUAUUUGUGAAUAGUGAAAAGAAAAAAAGAACAUGGCAACAAUAGAAUUAUUUUCAUCAGGUACUGUUAUUCCUUGCCCAAAUAGAAUAUGUUCAUUUUGAUUGUUGCUUGUUUUUGGAAUUCUGUUAUUUUUACUAAGAGAAGCUAUAGUUUACUCUUAAUACAUGCACAAUAGUCGCCAUAUUUUUAGGCAUUACAACUUUCUUUUAACUUUGACAUAUAAAUAUAGUAACUUUGAUAUAUUCUUUCUUAAUGCAUUUUUGUUUUUGUUUACAUUAGUCAAGGCAGAGAAACUUUCAAAUGAGUUUGUUAUAGGAAAUAUUUGUGCAUUUUCAAUUAUGGUUUAACUAUGUGAUAUUUCUGAUUCAAUUAUUAUGAAAUAUAUAGAAAAUAUAUUUAUGUACAGAAACUUUUGUGAGUUUUGAAAUCCAGUAUCAGAUGGUAACUUCAUAUUUCUUAACAAGGCUCCAGAUGCUAAGUUGUCAGAAAAACAGGAUAUCUGCAUGCAGAAGAAUGAAGCUGGAUCUUUACCUUGUGCCAUACACAAAAUUAACUCAAAAUGUACCAUAGCAGGUUAAGGAUCUGGUGUUGUCACUUCUGUUACAGCUGUGAUGUGGGUUCAACCCAUGGCCUGGGAA